rnacentral:rRNA from 1 species
UUGACGGAGAGUUUGAUCCUGGCUCAGGACGAACGCUGGCGGCGUGCUUAACACAUGCAAGUCGAACGAGAAGCCGGAGCUUGCUCCGGCGGAAAGUGGCGAACGGGUGAGUAACACGUGAGAAAUCUGUCCUAGAGACCGGGAUAACCAUCGGAAACGAUGGCUAAUACCGGAUACCCUCAUCCAAGCCGCCUGGUCGGAUGAGGAAAUGCUCAGGCGCUCUAGGAGGGUCUCGCGGCCUAUCAGCUAGUUGGUGGGGUAACGGCCUACCAAGGCAUCGACGGGUAGCUGGUCUGAGAGGACGAUCAGCCACACUGGGACUGAGACACGGCCCAGACUCCUACGGGAGGCAGCAGUGGGGAAUAUUGCGCAAUGGGCGAAAGCCUGACGCAGCAACGCCGCGUGAGGGAUGACGGUCUUCGGGUUGUAAACCUCUUUCAGUGAUGACGAAAAUGACGGUAAUCACAGAAGAAGCUCCGGCCAACUACGUGCCAGCAGCCGCGGUAACACGUAGGGAGCGAGCGUUGUCCGGAUUCAUUGGGCGUAAAGAGCUCGUAGGCGGUUUCGUAAGUCAGAUGUGAAAACUCAGGGCUCAACCCUGAGAUGCCAUCUGAUACUGCGAUGACUAGAGUCCGGUAGAGGAGCAUGGAAUUCCUGGUGUAGCGGUGGAAUGCGCAGAUAUCAGGAGGAACACCAACGGCGAAGGCAGUGCUCUGGGCCGGUACUGACGCUGAGGAGCGAAAGCAUGGGGAGCAAACAGGAUUAGAUACCCUGGUAGUCCAUGCCGUAAACGUUGGGCACUAGGUGUGGGACCUUCUAACGGGUUCCGUACCGUAGCUAACGCAUUAAGUGCCCCGCCUGGGGAGUACGGCCGCAAGGCUAAAACUCAAAGGAAUUGACGGGGGCCCGCACAAGCGGCGGAGCAUGUUGCUUAAUUCGAGGCAACGCGAAGAACCUUACCUGGGUUUGACA